UGUUUGAUGUUCUAACGUUGGCCCGUAAUCCGGGUUGCGGACAGUGUCUGGUGGGUAGUUUGACUGGGGCGGUCUCCUCCUAAAGAGUAACGGAGGAGCACGAAGGUUGGCUAAUCCUGGUCGGACAUCAGGAGGUUAGUGCAAUGGCAUAAGCCAGCUUGACUGCGAGCGUGACGGCGCGAGCAGGUGCGAAAGCAGGUCAUAGUGAUCCGGUGGUUCUGAAUGGAAGGGCCAUCGCUCAACGGAUAAAAGGUACUCCGGGGAUAACAGGCUGAUACCGCCCAAGAGUUCAUAUCGACGGCGGUGUUUGGCACCUCGAUGUCGGCUCAUCACAUCCUGGGGCUGAAGUAGGUCCCAAGGGUAUGGCUGUUCGCCAUUUAAAGUGGUACGCGAGCUGGGUUUAGAACGUCGUGAGACAGUUCGGUCCCUAUCUGCCGUGGGCGCUGGAGAACUGAGGGGGGCUGCUCCUAGUACGAGAGGACCGGAGUGGACGCAUCACUGGUGUUCGGGUUGUCAUGCCAAUGGCACUGCCCGGUAGCUAAAUGCGGAAGAGAUAAGUGCUGAAAGCAUCUAAGCACGAAACUUGCCCCGAGAUGAGUUCUCCCUGACUCCUUGAGGGUCCUGAAGGAACGUUGAAGACGACGACGUUGAUAGGCCGGGUGUGUAAGCGCAGCGAUGCGUUGAGCUAACCGGUACUAAUGAACCGUGAGGCUUAACCUUACAACGCCGAAG
rnacentral:rRNA from 1 species